ensembl:lncRNA
CUUAGAUGGAAGUCAUGCAGCAGUAAGAAGCUCAAACUGUGGCUGAUGCCGAUUUCACAAGAGCGAUUGUUUGUCAUGUUGGUACUCAAUCGUCUUGGUACAUGUCGUCCUGAACCACCGUCUAUAACGUGGUAAACUUAUCCGGAGCCCAAUUGGAAGGUAGCGAUCCUAACACCAAGCACUGUGGCUGGCCCAGAAGUUUAAGUCAAUAUUCUACUGACCUCAAAACUCGACUUCUUUUGCUUGUGAAAGCUUUCACAGAAGUGUUGUUGCAUUGAGAUUCUUGCAAGUACUGAAAUUCCCUGUAAAAUGUACAUCUAUUUCUCUCUUCUGUGGUUUUUUUCAGGGCUGCUAUUGCAAAUCUGGUCCUCCAGCAUCCACCUGUUCUCUGCACCUUCAGUACCCUUCAAUAAAUCACACCAUUUCUUAAAAAUAAAGGUGGACCUCAUCUGAUCAGUUGAAGUCUUGAAUAGAAUAAAAAGACUGACCCUCCCUUGAGUAAGAGGGAAUCUCGCCUGCCUGCCUUCAAACUGGGACAUUGGUUUUUUUCCUGCCUUUAGACUCAAACUGAUCAUUGGCUCUUUGUGGGAUUCACGCCUGGCAGCCUUUGGACUGGAAAUACACCAUCAGCUCUCCGGGUCUCCAGCUUGCCAGCCCACCCUGCAGAUCGUGGGACUUGUUGGCCUCCACAAUCAUGUGAACUAAUUCCUUAUAAUAAGUCUCUUUCUGUAUAUAUAUAUAUUUUUUAUUGGUUCUCUUUCUCUGGGGGAUCUUGAUUAAUUCGGAAGGUGAAAGGUGCAUCUGUUGGGUCUACUGCUUUCUCUGGCCAGCACACUGUGGUAGGCAGAAUUCUCAAAACAGCCCCCGAGGUCCACACCCUAAUCCUGAGAACCUGUGAAUGGGCUGAGAUCCCACUCCUGUGAUGCUCUGGUGCUAUGUGGCUCACUGGAUCUUAAAAUAGAGAGAUUGUCCAGGUGGCCCUAAUCUUAUCACAUAAACCCGGCUAAAGGCAGAGAGUUUUCUCUGGUUGGAAGUGUAGUGGAAGUCAGAGGAUUAGCGUGAGAGGGAGUCUAGAUGAGGGGUCUUGCCACAGGCUGUGAUGCUGUGAUGGGGCCUGGAAGGAAGCCUCUGGAAGGAACUGUGGAUGGCCCAUAGAAGUUGAGAGUGACUCCUGGCCAACAGUCAGGAGACAAAGACCUCAGUCCUACAACUGCAAGGGACUGAAUUCUGCCAAACCUGAGUGAGCUUGGAAGCAGAUUUUCCACACAGCCUGCAGAGGAGCACCCAGCCUGCUGACAUCUUGACUUCUGCCUGGAGAGACCCUAAGCGGAGAACCCAGGAGGACCCACCUGGACUUUGGACCUAUAGGAUUGGGAUAAUAAGUGGGUAUUGUUUUAAGAGCCAGUGGUAAUUUGUUACACAGAGUAGAAAACUGAUGCACAUAGACAAAGAGAUGUGGCUUCCUAUGGCAGCACUAGCAGAGAUUUAGGGGUGAGUCAUUGGUGUCAAGAGGCAGGCUGUAGGACGUCUGUUUCAGCUGGCAUAGACCUAGCAGGUAUAGUGACUCUGGAGCCAACAGUGCCAGUGGUGGCCUUCCUGUUUCCAGCUUUCCCAUUGUGGCAGAGGUUGGGGUUACUCUGGUAGGACAAUUCUACUGUGUUGUCCUUGGAUUCCAGGAGUGCCGUCUAGACUGUACUUAUCCAGCCCUUCUAAUGGUUUUGAGCACCCAAUUCCUCAUAUUAAAUCACUGCUUAAAUAUAAGAUACUCUGUUAUAUGCUACUGAACCUUGACUGUUAUAUCUUCAGAUCUCACCUACUUGUUAAAUACAAUCACAUCUGUCAGCUUAUUCAAAUCUCGGAAGCACUGACCACUCCUUACUUCCUGAAAAUCACUCUUCUUUUGUUUUUGAUGACAUCUCAUUCUCCUGGUUUCUCUUAUACAUUUCUUCUACUAAUUUUUACUCUUUUGUUCUGGCUCAUUUUCAUUCAACAAACGGGUGUUGAGUAUGUACCAGGUUGAAGACACUGUGUGUGCAAAGUGCAGGGACCCCAUCGAGAACUGAUCGUGGACCUUGCCCUCCAGGGACUUGUCCACAUGUAAACGAGUAACUUAGUGAGGCGAUACCAUCUAUAAUAGAGAUGGAUAAAAUGGACCCUGGAGAUCCAAAGAGGAAAACAUAUAACUCGGGGCGGUCAGGGAGCACAUUCCCGAAGAUGAUGGUACUCUGGGUGAGUAUUCUAGAGUAGACAUGUUUCAGAUAGACAAAGUAAGGAAGGGCGCUCCAGCCUGAAGGAACAGAGAGGGCAAAGUCAUGGAAGUUUGAAAAUGUGACAUAUUAAAGGAAUAAUGAGGAGUUUGCUGUGGCUGGAUUUCUGGGUGCAAAUGGGAGAUUGGUAGAGAAAUAAAGUCAGAAUUUGUAUAGAAAGUGACAUGUGGAUCAGAUCCUAGUAACAGAGUUUACUGGAGAUAGUUAUUAUACUAAAAUUCCUAACCUGUGAUGACUAUAUUCAAAUAAAGUCUGAACUCCUUUGUUUGGUUAAAAGGAUUGUUCAUCACCUGACUAACUCUCUAGUAUGCUCUCAUCCCAUUUUCCUCUUUGCUCCCUUCCAUUCACUCAUUUACUCUUUCAUUUAUUUAGUCAGAGAGGUGUGACUGGCGCAUAUCAGUAGCCUGGGCAGAUCAUUGAAAGGACUUUGGCUUUUGUUCUAGAGAAGAUGGAAAGUCAGUCAAGAGACCUGAUGUAAUUUACAUUUUAAAAGACUCACCCUGGCUACUGUCUGGAAUGGGGUGAGAGGCAAGAGUGUGAGCAAAGAGACGGAUAAGGAGGUUAUUGUAAUAAUCCAGAAAUGGCUGUAGCUUAGAUUGGGAUGGAAGUGGUGGAGAUAGGAGAAGGGUCAUGAUUCUGUACUUAUUUUAAAGGUAGAUUCUGUAUAUAUAAUAUGAUUUGCUGGUGGAUUGAAUGUGGGAUAUGAGAAAAAAGCAGAAUCAAGGAUGAUACCAAAGUUUUAGUUUCCAUUUGUGUGUUAGGGAUCAUGGGAAGAGAGGGUUUUAGGGGAAAUAUCACGGGUUUUUUUUAACACGGUGAUUUUGAGAUGCCUAUCAGACAUCCAAGCUCCACUUUGAGAUGCAGUUAGAUAUUGGCAUCUGGAGUUAGGGGAGAGUUUCAGGGAGUCUCAUGGGUGAUUCACCUGGUAUUUAAAGCUAUGAGAAAAAAAAUAUAUAAAAUAAAGCUAUGAGGUUAGAUGAGAUCAUCUAGGGAGUG